rnacentral:rRNA from 1 species
UACAGAGGUGGCAAGCGUUGUUCGGAAUUACUGGGCGUAAAGGGCGUGUAGGCGGUCAGGUAAGUGGAAUGUGAAAUCCCUCGGCUCACCCGAGGACCUGCAUCCCAAACUGCCUGGCUUGAGUAUGGGAGAGGAUGGAGGGAAUUCCUGGUGUAGCGGUGAAAUGCGUAGAUAUCGUAAGGAAGACCAGUGGCGAAGGCGGGUCUCUGGACAGUUCCUGACGCUGAGGCACGAAGGCCAGGGGAGCAAACGGG